AUUGAACGCUGGCGGCAGGCCUAACACAUGCAAGUCGAACGAGUGGCGGACGGGUGAGUAAUGUCUGGGAAACUGCCUGAUGGAGGGGGAUAACUACUGGAAACGGUGGCUUAUAACGCAUACUAUCGGAGGUACCCAGAUGGGAUUAGCUAGUAGGUGGGGUAAAGGCUCACCUAGGCGACGCUCCCUAGCUGGUCUGAGAGGAUGCCCAGCCACACUGGAACUGAGACACGGGCCAGACUCCUACGGUAGGCAGCAGUGGGGAAUAUUGCACAAUGGGCGCAAGCCUGAUGCAGCCAUGCCGCGUGUAUGAAGAAGGCCUUCGGGUUGUAAAGUACUUUCAGCGGGGAGGCGUUACCCUCAGAAGAAGCACCGGCUAACUCCGUGCCAGCCGCCGCGGUAAUAC
rnacentral:rRNA from 1 species